GCCGCCCAUAUGUAUGCACAGUUGGAGGUAAUUUGUGGGAGGUGGGAAUGUGAAGUGUGCAGCCUAAAAUCCACUUAGUAGUUUAAUGACGUAGCUUAGUUGCUUUCUUAAGUGAUAUCAAGGCUCACGCAUUUGGGACGGAGCCCAUUUCCUGUUCACUCCUAUCCUCCAGUACCGCUAUGGUGUUUGGAUGGCCUGCUUGUUUGUUAUACGUUGCUGUCUGCACGUUCACAAUGCCUCUGGGGUUUCACCUUAGGCAAGUUCUGCUUCUUAUUAUUCCUUAACUGCGUUUAUGUGGAUAAACAAUGAGUGUUUUAUGACACGGUGUUGGACUAAUGUUCCUGUUUCUCACAGACUGGCUCUGCUGUACUUCACUUUGCUUGCUCUUGCUGAGGGGCAACAUUUGGCAGCAACGCCACCAACAGACAGUAGCAUGGAACCCGUCAAUGAAGACAAGACUGCGAAUGAAGAUCUAAAAAAUAUGGAUAAUCUUCCUAAUGUUUACCGCUACCACUUUUCUGAGAGAACUGCUUUCAAAAAUGUGUCUGCAAGUAUCACUGCUGAUUCUGUUCAGAGCGAAAGGCCCUUAAGUAGACCCAUUACCUCCCCCACCUCCUCAAAACAUGUGUUGAAAUUUGUCUAUCCUUAUCCACUCUCAGGUGGUACAACCUCUUCAAGAAGUGCAAAAUGGAUACUGAGCAACAGCAGUUACACGGCGCAAAGAUUUGGCCCAGUUGAAGGUGGUCAUAGUGUGGGUCCAAACUAUUCAAACCAGGACCAAAACAAGGGUCAUCUAACUGGUUUGAAUCCCCUGCCUGGCAACCAGACUAAUGGGGGCAGUCAGCAUAGUGGAAGGGUGUUGGCUAAAAGUACCAUACAAGUAAAUGAAAGAGGUUCUAUUGUAAGAGGUAUUUGGCAUCGGAUCAAGCUGCCAGAAAGUGUGUCAUCGCCACUGGUUAAAACGCAGCCAAUCGCCAUCAAUCGUUAUCCUGAUGGGCAUUUGGAGGUUCCAACACCAUUACUUCAAAACACUUGGAGGCCAUAUUCAAAAAUUAUAUCAAAUGUUCAGGCCACCAGUGGAACCCAUUCAGUAGAGCAAGUACAAACUGAUGCGGGCACCACACAUCAAGACCAAGCCACUAAUUCUAAACCUGUAACCCUUGUAAGGGUUAAGCCCGGGCAUGCAUCGGAGGUACAUCGUCUAUUUGGGAACACAAACAAAAAUAUCCACAAUCAGGAUACAAAAGGUCAGGAUCAGUUUCAGGACGUACGCAGGACAAGCAAAUCCGAUCCUAUUGUCACACGCUUGCCCACCUCAAGCUCUGCCACUAGCAGAGCAGUAUUUUAUCAUCCGCGUCUCAAAUCAACUGAUAGCAGUGUUGUCCAAUCCCACACGAAUUUGGAAUUGAGCCAGAGUAAGCCUAAUAGUGCAAGUGCAGCAAGCCAAACAGUGGGUAGUACAGUCAGUACCUCUUCAGCUUCCCAACCAGCUUGGAGGUACCUGAAUGGGCCAAAAAUGGAAGGUGAUGAUGCAAAGUUCCUUGGCCGCAGUCCAGUGACUGUCAGUUCUUCAAAGCACAUGAAUCAGCCAAAUGUAGAAAAACUAGAUGUCCUAGAGAAUGCUCAAAAAACAGGAACAGUACAGUGGCUGGUCGUUAAGCCCAACCCUGCGUCCAACAGCGCACGGGCAGCUGUCUAUGACAGCAUCCAUCUUUCACCUAGAACACAAAGUAGCUCCCUAAGUAAACAAAAUAAAGCAGAUGUCACAGGUUCACCAAAUUCCCGUGCAGACAGAGAGUUUAAAUUUUCCUCUCAACUCUUCUCAGCAGGCUCUAUAGAUCGUAGCGUUCAAUCUCAUGAAGUAAACCCUUUCCAGUUAGCCCCAACCAGUAGAUCUCAGAGGUUCCCGACAUUUGACAAUUAUCAGACUGGCUAUCAGACUUCCCAUUCUCCCAGUUCUUUCAAUUUCAAGGAUACGAGAGACUCCUUGGGUUGGAAACCACGAGCACUGCCACCAUCUCAUUCAGUAGGAGGCCCCUCUGAAAAACAGCUGUACCCUCCAACUGAUCAUAGCCAGUACAAGAUGAAAGUCCAAGCAAAUUUACACUUAAAGAAAAGUUUUGAAAAUCCUAGUCAGACAAAUUUAAGUAUUUUCUUUCGGCCAAAUACAUUGCAUGACCUGCGUAUCAAGGAACAUAGCGAAACAAGCACAAAGCAACCAGUUACCUCUAGUAGAUUCCAGCAAAAUACUGAAGUUUCUUCCAUUAGUGGAUCAGCUGUGCUUGCAAAUGGUUCUGACCAAAGUAUCGAGAAUUACCUGUCCAGAAACUCUAGCGAGAUUUCCAAAUUGACUGCCAUUGAUGCUGGAAAAAUAUCUAGCUUGCCUAUUAGUGCAGUAAAUUCCUCAUCACCUGAAAAUGGUACAGGAGAUGUCCAGACUUCAACUGGCAAUAUCUACUCUGUUAAUGAAUCUACAGGACAAAACGAGACACCUUCUUCCAGUUCUAGACCACAAACGGCCACUGAAGACAAGAACGUGUCUGUUUCAGAGUCCAUCUCAGCAAAUGUUGAGUCCAUCACACCUCAAAAUGGGAUUAGACACAUUCAAGCUAAGAUGAUGUCUGGUCUACCAUUUCCAAAGGAGGCUCUUCCGAUAAAUCCAGCAGAGAAACAUCAACAAGAGGAUGAAGAUCAAACUAAAGCAGUCCAACAGUUGAGCAGACUUAUGAAUGCUACACAGAGUUCUCGGCCAACUAGUAGAGUGGUUGUGGUUGCUAAACAUGUUAAAGUCAAUCAUAAGUCCCCAAACACCUAUGAGAAAUCCCAGCUACCUACAUACAGGUCUGCUAUUAUUCGCAAAAAGUCUACGAACAGACUGUUGGCUAAUGUGUCAAAAGAUGAGACAAAACCUGAAAACUAUGGGACAGUGAAUGUAAGUGCUGAGUUAGAAGUCCAAACUGAAAGUUCACCAGCAGAAACCAAAAUGGAUCCCAGCUAUUCGGACCUAAAGAGUACCAACAUCUCAACAAACAACAACCCUGUCCAAAGUACAGAUUCCCAACAAAGCCUCAAUUCCACUCAGAGUAAAUUUAAACAAAUAAAACCACUAUCAAUUAAAUAUUUAGAUGUUGCAGGCAGUGCCUCUAUUAGUAUUCAUUCUGGACCAAUGAUAAAUGGAACAGAGCACCACAGCAAUUCUAGUACUCUUCCCACAUCAACAUUGGUACCAACUACAACCGAACCAAUCUAUGCUACUGUGAUAAAUGAUGUUACUGAAGCCACUCAUCUUAUAGAAGAUGGAAUUGAACCUACAACUUCUGUUCUUCAUUCCUUCCCCUAAAGGACACUGAGUUCAAAAGACAAAGCUGGACUAUCUUGGAGGAUCAUCUUGUUUUGCCAUCAAGAAUGAACACAACCAUUAUAGUUAUUGAGAGUUUAUGUGAGAGAUGGUAGAUAUGUGCUCACCUUGGUCAUUUUCAUUGUCUGAAGUGUCUGUACUGGUCCAAUAAUAAUUAGGUUGAAAUCAGAGCUGGUUAAAUCUUGAUGUAGUGGAACUGCAAGAAGAAGCUUGACGGGAAUGUCCAUUGUUUGUGAACUGGAGCACAUGUUCUCUAGGGACACCUAGAGUUGUUGUAUGAUAUUGUACUGAGCCAGAAUUAAAAGU
ensembl:lncRNA